GUUGCUUGCAAGGGCGUAUGGUGGAUGCCUUGGCAGACAGUACCGAUGAAGGACGUUUGAGGCUGCGAUAUGCCUCGGGGAGCCGCCAGCAGGGCUUUGAUCCGAGGAUUUCCGAAUGGGGGAACCCGCCGGCCGUCAUGGGCCGGCACCGCGUUCGCGCGGGGGGUACGCAGGGAAGUGAAACAUCUCAGUACCUGCAGGAAAGGAUGUUCCGUGAGUAGUGGCGAGCGAAAGCGGAUCAGGCCAAACCGCGCGCGUGUGACAGGCGCCAGCCGUUGCGCGCGUGGUGUUGAGGGAGCGUGUGUCCGGGUCCUGGCGGGCCCGGCCGGAGUGAUAAAACGGCGUGUGAGGCGAACCGGAUUGAAUGCCGGGCCGCAGAGGGUGAUGGCCCCGUAGCCGAACGCGCGUCGUCUCCGGAUCGUGUUUCCCAAGUAGCGCGGGACUCGUGGAAUCCCGUGUGAAUCCGCCCCGACCGUGGGGUAAGCCUAGAUAUACCUGUCUGACCGAUAGCGAACUAGUACCGUGAGGGAAAGGUGAAAAGCACCCCGGGAGGGGAGUGAAACAGUCUCUGAAACCGUGCGCUUACAAACCGUCGGAGCCUUUCGGGGUGACGGCGUGCCUAUCGAAAAAUGAGUCUGCGAGUCAGUGGCACGUGGCGAGCGUAACCCGUGUGGGGUACGCGUAGCGAAGGCGAGUCUCAAAAGGCGUUUGAGUCGCGUGUCCUGGACCCGAAGCGGGAUGAUCUAGCCCUGAGCAGGUUGAAGCGCGGGUAAGACCGCGUGGAGGACCGAACCCACCUGGGUUGAAAACCGGGGGGAUGACUUGGGGUUAGGGGUGAAAGGCCAAUCAAAUUCCGUGAUAGCUGGUUCUCUCCGAAAUGCAUUUAGGUGCAGCGUCGGGGAUUACGUCCGGGGGGUAGAGCUACUGGAUGCUUGAGGGCCCGUAUCGGGUACCGACAGCAGCCAAACUCCGAAUACCCGUGACGCGUAUCCCGGCAGUGAGUCGGCGGGGGAUAAGCUCCGUCGUCGAAAGGGAGACAGCCCAGAUCGUCGUCUAAGGUCCCCAAGCGCGUGCUAAGUGGGAAAGGAUGUGGAGUCGCAUAGACAGCCAGGAGGUUGGCUCAGAAGCAGCCACCCUUGAAAGAGUGCGUAACAGCUCACUGGUCUAGUGGUUCCGCGCCGACAAUGUAGCGGGGCUCAAGCACGCCACCGAAGACGCGGCAGCGUCCGUCUGGACGCUGGGUAGGAGAGCGUCCCCAUCGGGGCGAAGCGGCGGCGCAAGCCUGCCGUGGACCGUUGGGGAGUGAGAAUGCAGACAUGAGUAGCGAGAGGCGGGUGCGAAUCCCGCCCGCUGGAUGACCAAGGGUUCCGGGGCCACGUUCGUCGUCCCCGGGUGAGUCGGGUCCUAAGGCGAGGCCGACAGGCGUAGUCGAAUGGAUGAACGGGCUGAUAUUCCCGUACCGGCAGCGAACCGAAACAACCGAGGCCUGGGGCGCUAACCUCCGGGUCCGUGCCGUCUCCCCUUUCGGGGGGUCGCGGCGCGGGCGCGUUGGGAUCCCCCCUCGUAGUAGGUCAGCGCAGGAGUGACGCAUCAGGGCAGCCGGCCGCGGAGGUGGUUUUCCGUGGUCAAGCGUUCGAGCCCGUCCCGCAGGCAAAUCCGCGGGGCGUCGGGGCGAGGCGUGAUGAUGGGGGCCUUACGGCCCGAAUCCGGUGAUCCGUGGUGCCGAGAAAAGCUUCGGCGUCAGGCGCGUUGCCGCCCGUACCCCAAACCGACACUGGUGGUCAGGUAGAGAAUACCAAAGCGAUCGAGCGAAUCCUGGUCAAGGAACUCGGCAAAUUGCUCCCGUGCCUUCGGCAUAAGGGAGACCCCCUGCGGUGAUGAGCGGCGGGGGGUGGCACAGGCCAGGGGGUAGCGACUGUUUACCAAAAACACAGGAGCGUGCGAAGGCGCAAGCCGCUGUAUACGCUCUGACGCCUGCCCGGUGCCGGAAGGUUAAGAGGAUCCGUCAGCUUCUGCGAAGCGGUGAAUUCAAGCCCCGGUAAACGGCGGUGGUAACUAUAACCAUCCUAAGGUAGCGAAAUUCCUUGUCGGGUAAGUUCCGACCUGCACGAAUGGCGUAACGACUUCCCCACUGUCUCGACCAGGAGCUCGGCGAAAUUGCAGUACGAGUAAAGAUGCUCGUUAAGCGCAGAAGGACGAAAAGACCCCGGGACCUUUACUAUACCUUGGUAUUGGCAUUAGGCGCGGAUUGUGUAGCAUAGGCGGGAGGCUUCGAGGCGGGNNNNNNNNNNGGCGGGAGGCUUCGAGGCGGGUGCGCCAGCAUCCGCGGAGCCGCAAGGUGAAAUACCGCUCUGUUCUCGUUUGAUGUCUAACCUCGAACAGUCAUCCUGUUCAGGGACAGUGCCUGGCGGGUAGUUCAACUGGGGCGGUUGCCUCCCAAAGAGUAACGGAGGCGCUCAAAGGUCCGCUCGGCCCGGUUGGCAAUCGGGUGUCGAGUGUAAUCGCACAAGCGGGCUUGACUGCGAGAUCGACGGAUCGAGCAGGGACGAAAGUCGGAGAUAGUGAUCCGGUGCCGGCGCACGGGCGCGGCAUCGCUCAACGGAUAAAAGGUACCCCGGGGAUAACAGGCUGAUCAUUCCCAAGAGUCCAUAUCGACGGGAUGGUUUGGCACCUCGAUGUCGGCUCGUCGCAUCCUGGGGCUGGAGCAGGUCCCAAGGGUUCGGCUGUUCGCCGAUCAAAGCGGCACGCGAGCUGGGUUCAGAACGUCGUGAGACAGUUUGGUCUCUAUCCUCUGCGCUCGUUGGAAUCUUGAGGAGGCCUGCCCAUAGUACGAGAGGACCUGGGUGGACGAACCUCUGGUAUGCCGGUCGUCACGCCAGUGGCGCGGCCGGUUGGCUACGUUCGGAAGGGAUAACCGCUGAAAGCAUCUAAGCGGGAAGCCUUCUCCAAGAUAAGGAUUCCAUGCGGCCCCGAGCCGCUGAAGACCCCAUGCAGAACACGUGGUCGAUAGGCCGGACGUGGAAGCCCCGCGAGGGGUGGAGCCGACCGGUACUAAUGGUCGAGAGGCA
rnacentral:rRNA from 1 species